rnacentral:misc_RNA from 1 species
CCGGGAUCCUCAGUACUAAGUGGAGCAUAAGAGCGAUUUUGGAGAAGCGAAGUGCUCACUAACUCGAUCACCGGUCCUCCGCCGGAACUUUUCGACGUUGCCAAAUGAGUCGACGAGCUCGCUGGAACUCUAACGCUCUUCAAAGCAUCUCUAUACUUCCUAAAUAAUAUGGUCCUAUUCCUCGUCGCCAUGGCCAAAAUCUACCAAUU